UCCGUAGGUGGAUAAAUAAGUCAGAGGUGAAAUCCUGCAGCUUAACUGUAGAACUGCCUUUGAUACUGUUUAUCUUGAGUUAUUAUGAAGUGGUUAGAAUGUGUAGUGUAGCGGCGAAAUGCAUAGAUAUUACACAGAAUACCAAUUGCGAAGGCAGAUCACUAAUAAUCAACUGACACUGAUGGACGAAAGCGUGGGUAGCGAACAGGAUUAGAUACCCUGGUAGUCCACGCCGUAAACGAUGGUCACUAGCUGUUUGGACUUCGGUCUGAGUGGCUAAGCGAAAGUGAUAAGUGACCCACCUGGGGAGUACGUUCGCAAGAAUGAAACUCAAAGGAAUUGACGGGGGCCCGCACAAGCGGUGGAGCAUGUGGUUUAAUUCGAUGA
rnacentral:rRNA from 1 species